GCCGGAAUUGCAGUAAUGGCAGGUCAGCAUACUGCCGUGAAUACGUUCCCGGGCCUUGUACACACCGCCCGUCACGCCAUGAGAGUUGGGAAUACCCGAAGCCUGUGAGCUAACGUAAGAGGCAGCAGUCGAAGGUAGAAUCAAUGAUUGGGGUGAAGUCGUAACAAGGUAGC
rnacentral:rRNA from 1 species